GCAGCGGGGUCAAGAAGGCGAGCGUGUUAAGGGAAAAAACCUGAAGGCACUGCACAAUCAAUAAAAUAUGGCCAGUCCAUCAAGAACCUCCGGGGGAUUCCACUGAAUUUCUAAAUGUACUGGAUAAAGGCGAUGCCUAACGCCAUCCUUGUUAGGGAUAGUGUGCAAAAGUGACAGGAGGUGCUUAUUUGUCCUUUUAUGUUGCAUUAAGUAAAGCUCAGUGUUACUUUUUUAUUAUUCAGGUCAUGGUCUUGGCUGCUAAAACAUAUCUUAGCCAAGCUAAAGAAAUCCUCAGUGCUUGCACAUCAUGAAAUAUGCGAGAAGAUGGUGAAAUCUGUCAGUGUCACCAAGUUAAGAACGAGUUCUAGAGCUCAUCAGUUUGGGGAAGUGCUAGCUGUGACGUUUCUGAAUAAGGCCGCUUGCUGUCUUUACUCUUAUCAUGUAAAGUUUAAUGUGAAUCUGGAAAGCUCAUCUUAGAUCUCUGCGUUGAAGGCACAGACGGUGUGUUUCGCUUUAAUCUUUUUUAGCCUAUUUGUUAGAAUUAAUUGAUUUCUAAGAUUUUUCUACAUAUUUGUUAGUUCCAUACAUGUAUAGUUGUGACCAUGAGGCUGCCUUGCUUGCUGAUGAAUGAAUCUGUUACCAGCCUUUCCAGACUUGUUUGCCUCUUUUUAGCCGACAUGACUAAAACGCUCCAUCUGGAAAAGGGGGCCAUCCAUGCAAGUUCUUCUACCGGUUAGAAAUCCAGCAGCAGUUGGACUCUGUGUGUAGGUUGGAGAAAUGUUGGAUAUUCCUGUGGCUCUUUAAUGCCCAUCAUUGUGUGUUCAGAGUUCAGUCGAAGGAUCAUAAAGCCAGCAAGUCUUCAGCCCAGCUCAAGGACAUGUAAAUGACUGUACAUAUAAUCGAAUCGUGUGUAUCAUUAGCUAGAUCUUCCUGCCACUGAUACCAUUUUCCCUAAUUCUGAGGUCACUAUGGUUUAGCAGAAGGCCAUCUCUUUCACUUUUUCUCAUGUUUCCACUGGGCGAGCCUGAUCUUUUCGUUGAACACAGACUGGCUACGUAUUCUUUGCGUCCAGUUAAGGUGUACUGGAAUGGAUUUUCUUUUAUUGUUGUCUUUUAGAGUGUUAAGUGGCUCAAGUGUAUCUUCUGCAGUAACCGAUUCCUGUUUUUCUCUAACAAACAGAAGCAUCUGGGCAAUGCCCUCCAAUGUUCUUCAGAGCAAGAGGCUGCCAGUUUCACUGAGGCCUUGGUACCCAUCAUGUGUCUUUGUGGGUUUUAUCUUGGGACAUUUACGGGUUCUGAGAGCACACAGAUGGACUCCUAGUAUGUGAAGCCCACCAAGGUGACUCUUGCUAGUUUUCACAUGGGUUCCCAUUUUCCCCAAUGUCCUAAAAUGCUGUGGUACACAUUUCCUUUUUACCCUUAUACCAGAACUGGGUGUAAUUUUAAAUACAUACAUUGUACCUGAACUCGUGUACCUAAAGUAAAUUUAUGUUCUCCAGCUUAUAAUCGCGGCCAGAUGUGUGGUGCAUUUAGCAAGACUUGAUUUCUGGAAUGUCAUAUUUAAUUCAGAAAGAAAAUAACCCAAAAUUACAACAGAUAAGCCAAAAGGUAGAUAAUUUGCCACACAGAGGAAUGUACUGUAUAGUGCCCUCCAUAACGUUUGGGACAAAGCCACGUUUUUCCUUGAUUCACCCCUCUGCUCCACAGUUUAAAAUUAUAAAUCAUGCAGGUGUGAUUAAAGUGUACUUUGCAGACUUUCAUUUAAGGGUAUUUGCAUACAUUUCAGUCACACCAUGUAGAAAUGACAACACUGCUUAUACAUGGACCAGCACUUUUAGACACCAUGAUGUUUGGGACAUCACAAUGGCAGGUCUAUUAAAGCAGUCAUGUUAAGUACUUUGUCGCUUAUCUCGUUGCAUGCAAUGACUGCUUGAAGUCUGCGAUUCAUAGACAUCAUCAGGUGCUGAGUGUCUUCUCUGGUGCCAACCCUCUAAUGCAGCCAUCUUGAGGUCCUGUUUAUUUUGGGGACUUGCCCCCUCACAUUUUCUCUUCAGCAUAUGGAAGGCCUGCUCAACUGGAUUUAAAUUGGGGGACUGGCGUAGCCAUUUAUGAUUUUUCAGCUUUAAAAAGCUCCUGCCUUCCCAGUAUGUUUGGAGUCAUUAUUUUGUUGUAGAAUGAAGCGCCGUCCAGUGAGAUUGGAAGUAUUUACUGAAACUUGAGCAGAUGUUGCUAUCUAUACACAUCAGAAUUUAUUGUGCCACUGCUGUCAGUAGGUCCAUCAUCAAUGAGUGUGCCAGAAUCUAUGGCAGCCAUAACAUCCCCACCACCAUGUUUAACCAUGUGAGGUGGUCUGCUUUGGAUAUUAGGCAGUUCCUUUUCGUCUCCACACUUUGUUCUUGCCAUCACUCUGAUACAGGUUCAUCGUUGUCUCAUCUGUCCACCCAAAAUUCUGCAGGCUCCUUUAAGUUCUUUUUCACUAUCUGUAAUCUGGCCAUCCAGUUUUUGUGACUAACUAGUUCUUUGCAUCUUGCAGCAUGGCCUCUGUAUUUCUGUUCGUGAAGUCUUCUGCUGAUUGUUGUCUCUGACACAUCCACAUCUGCCUCCUGAAGUCUGUUUCUGAUCUGUCAGACAGGCAUUUGGGGCUUUUUCUUUACCAUAGUGAGGACUCGUUCAGUCAUCCACAGCAGAGGUCUUCCUUAGCCUAGCAGGCCCUUUGAGAGUGUUGAGCUCACCAGUGCGUUCUUUCUUCUUAAUGAUAUUCCAGACAGUUGAUUUCUAAGGUUUUACUGAUAUCUCUAAUGGUUUUAUUCUUGUUUUUCAGCCUUAUGAUGGCUUCUUUCACUUUCAUUGUCCUCAUGUUGAACAAUGGCAACUACAGGCUCUAAAGAGUAGAAGCAACUCCGGGUAUUUUAUUAAGCAAUGAAACCCACCUAAAGAUUCCCAAACACCAGUGAUGCCAAUUGUCCCAAACAUUAUGGUGCCCUCAAAUGAGGGGGUCAUGUAGAAAGAGUGUUGUCAUUUGUACACGGUGUGACCAAAAUGUAUGCAAAUAUCCUUGAAUGACAGUCUGCAAUGUGCACUUUAAUCACGUCUGAGUUGUCUGAUUUGUAAUUUUAAACUGUGGAGCAGAGGGAUAAAUCAAAGGAAAAACGUGGCUUUGUCCCAAACAUUAUGGAGGGCAGUGUAUUUCAACUAACCUCUGUCACUGACCUUACUGGUUUGUCUUGGACAGUAGCAGGAGGGUGAACUCCUUGGUAGGUGACAAACCAAAUCUGACGGCCUUGCGGAGGCCAGCUAGCUGCUGUAUGCGUACAACUCCACGGUGACAAACCAAAACAUUUCAGUUCUGAUGGAUUUCUCAAACGUUAGCUGAGUGCAGGCAGAAGUAUCCAUUUGUGGUGUUUUACAAGAAGGUGAAGCUGUUCUGAUGCACCGCAUGCGCUUCAUCCUGUCAAAUUGUGAAGCAAGAUUGGAGGAGAUGCAGUAGGAGGAAUUAAAGUGGUCUUGCUGUCAAUAAUUUCACCGGCUGUACUCCCCGGUAACUGAAAAGCGGUGUUUAUUUGAACUGCAAGAAUUCCCUUUUUAAUACUCUGAAGUAGACAGUAUGUUAUACACCCAGUAAAGUGUUCGGUUCACGAGGGAAUGACAUUGCAAGCCAAACUUGGGGGCUGGAGCUCUAACAACACACAGAAACUGUUAGUAAGGAAGAUGGACAGAUCUGAAAUGAACAUGGCCAUUGGGCCAGGAAGAAUUCCAUGUGCAGAAUGUUGCUUUACUCUGCAAAAAGAUAAAUGUGUUUUUUUUUCCCCCAAAUGCAGAUAGUCUUUGUAUAGUGCAGUGUUCCUGUAAAGCAGCAGUUUUUAAAACUGAGUGUUACCUCGUCGGCCACUCUCGUGGUUUGUGUUUUCAUGUGUAAAUAACAGUUUGUUAAUAAAACUGAACAAAAGUUGUAA